CCUACGGGAGGCAGCAGUGAGGAAUAUUGGUCAAUGGGCGAGAGCCUGAACCAGCCAAGUCGCGUGAGGGAAGACGGUCCUAUGGAUUGUAAACCUCUUUUGCCGGGGAGCAAAAAGCGGUACGUGUACCGCAUCGAGAGUACCCGGAGAAAAAGCAUCGGCUAACUCCGUGCCAGCAGCCGCGGUAAUACGGAGGAUGCGAGCGUUAUCCGGAUUUAUUGGGUUUAAAGGGUGCGCAGGCGGCGAGUUAAGUCAGCGGUAAAAUUUCGGGGCUCAACCCCGACAAGCCGUUGAAACUGGCGUGCUAGAGUGGGCGAGAAGUAUGCGGAAUGCGUGGUGUAGCGGUGAAAUGCAUAGAUAUACGGAGGAACACCAGUGGCGAAGGCGGAUUGCUGGACAGUAACUGACGCUGAGGCGCGAAAGCGUGGGGAGCAAACAGGAUUAGAUACCCCUGUAGUC
rnacentral:rRNA from 1 species